GGUCCCUUCUGAUGUCAGCCAGAGAAACGAGGGAAGUAGCAUGCUAAGAGGAAGAGAAAACCAGGAUAAAACCUCGGAGUUUACCUGUGAAAAGGAAAAAAAACAGUUGGAGCACUUACCCAGUGGAGGUCCGGAGCCAAGUGACUGAACGAAGGAGAGAGUUACGCAGGCUAACCACUUGCCUUUCACCCAGAGAGCCGCAGCAAGGUCCGACAUCAGCGUGCUCCGCCUUGAUACACAGAGAGUAACGGUGGAAGCUGAAUUAGUGAGGAUGACUCCUGCUCCUGUCAUCUCUAAGCUCCUCACACAUCUUUACCUGCACAUGAGGAAAAUCACUCCUGUAGAAUGCAGAUGUUCAGAGGGAGAUGAUGCCACAUCUGGUCCAGCUGAUGGAAGGUCUUGAAGUUCUCUGACUGGCCUCGACUGAAGAUGGUCGUCUCACUGGAUUUAAGGUUCAGAUCGUCAGUAACAAACUCCAUCAAUGUGCCAACAGGGAAGCUUUAGGUUUAUUAAAUGUUGCUAUGAAGGUAUCGCUGUUUUUCUUUGUGAAUGCAAUGUGCUCCAACUGAAACUUGAAUUAGAACUUAGAAGUAAAUCCUUCCAUCUGAAAGGAUCUAGUUGCAUUAAUAACCUCAUAACAUUCAAAUUUUUAUUCCAGUCUUGGUUGGAAAUAGAAUCUCUGUAUUGAUUCGGGUAAAAACUGAACUUCACAGCAUGUUGGAGCAAAACAACCAGAUGAAAACUGUGAUGGUGUUGGAUUGUCAGACCGUAAUGUUGCAGCUCAAAGCAGCUUUUCUAUCUCAGUUCAUUCUGACAUUCAGCUAUGAAUCAACACAGCAGAUGGUGAUCCAUGCUGUGGAAGUCUCACAUCUCCUGAUUUAAUGGAGCUGCUUUGCACUUUUUACACUGUUUAUUCACCAACACUUUAUUUAAUAAAAGUCCCAUCCAGUUUUUAUGAGGAAUGUGAUGUUUUAAUUUCUCUGUGAAUAACUGCAGUCUAAUGUAACAGCUGGAGUUGUAACAUCUGUCCUGAUAUUGAUCAUGAAGUAUUGAUCAGAAUACUGAUGAUCAGCAGUCAUCCCUGAAGUUUUACAUUAAAAUCUUUACUUGUGUUGUGAACUUUGGUAAGAAGCAGAAACAUUAGCGUUGCCAUGGAUACAUGAGUGUUAAAUUCUGUCCAUGUUUCCAUUUUGGGAAAUUCAGUCCAGUUCCAGAAUGUGGAGGAAUUUAGUCUCACAAUCACAGACAACAAAUAUUAUCUGAAAGUCGGGUUAUUGUUGUUUAUCAGCACAAUACAAAAAGAUUAAUGUUAGAAAUAUUCCAGUUAAGACUCUAGAAUAUCAUGAUUUAUGUAAAUUUACCUCAAUAAUAUGAAUGUUCAGGUUAAGAUUAUACAGUGAUAUUUAUUAUGUAAGUUUAGCUGAUUAAAGUUUAUGACUGCACUAAAAUAUUAUUUAAAUUGACAUUAUUAUAACAUUUAGGGUCAGACCCUACAGUACUGAGAUUAAGAAAUCAAAUAUUCUAUAAAAUAUAAAUACAAUGAACUCAUUUGGAUAUAUUUAAGUGAGACUGCAAUAUUAUUUGACACAAAUCUAUCUAAAUCAAAAUUUUAAUAAUUUUCACGCCAAACAUUUACUGGACUGAUUUAAAUAUUAAAAUCACUCCCUUCUAAUCCUCUGCUGUUCGUUCAAACCUGAGGCCUUAAAUAGAAACACACAAGUAUCUGAUUGAAGGAACUUCUGCAGAGUCCUGGUUCCAGAACAUGAUGAUAGAAUUAUAGACAAACUUUAACAAAAGCUGCCUGAGAGUUUACAGGUUUUUAUGUUGGAUUUCUUCACUAAUUUAAUGAACGUUAUCAGCAAUAAUCAAGUGUUCAUUUGAUGAACUUAUUUCCUAAAACAUCCAGAAUUGGAGCUCAUAUCUUUGGCAGCUGUAAAGUUUCUGCUCCUUCAAAGUUCACAACACAAUGAAUUAAUUCCUAAAACACUCUCAAUGCUGGAGAGCGUUUGUGAUGCUGAAGCAGUGAUCAGUUUUUCUGUUUCUUCUCUGGAGAUGCACAAUGAGGGACGUCUGCAGAGACUGAGAAAGAGUCUCACCACAUCCUGACAUGAGGAAAAAGACUUUAUUGAAGACUACAAUGAGAAAAACUAUCAGACAGCAGACGGCUGCAUUCAAGGCUACAGGAGGAGCCCUACGAGGACGAGCCGGUGCACCUGAUGGCGGCCAGUCGCUGUGGUUCAAAGCCAAUACCGACUACGUGGACUUCUACUGGACCACACGGAAGCCUUCAAACCAGACCAACAAGUUCAGCGACUCCCCGACUCGUGGGUCUGAGGACGCCGCCGAGCCUCGGCUCAGCCGGCCUCCUGUCUGUGGGUGUUUGAGUGCUGAGAGGUUUGUGGAUGCAUGUGAAUGUGUCUGUGUUGAAACAGCAGCUUUUGACUCAGUAACGCCGGGAAAAACCAAGAGCUCCUUUAUCUGUGACUUCCACUAAAAAACUGAAGAAAAUAAGUUUGCCAGAGUUCUGACUGACAACAGAUUAUUAAAUAAUGAAAAUAAUCGUUUAAAUAUUCCUUUAAACAAUCCUUUUAGGUCUACAUUUCCUUUACACUGACUUCUUGGUAUAUGUACAAGUAUUUUGGGUGGAAUAUACCAUCAGACCAACCUCCAAGGUUUACAGUAGUGAAUUUUAGGUGGAAUAUACCAUUAAACUCACCUUUUAGGUGUACAAUUUUAGGUGGAAUUUUCUUCCAAACUGUCUUUUACUCUACAUUUAAGGAUGUUUAGGAUGGUAUAUUCUUCCGACCCAACUUCUCAGGUCGACAUUUCAGGUGGAAUAUUCCUCCAUACUAACUUUUUUGGUCUACAUUGAAGGAUUUUUUCUAAACCACCCUUUCAGGUCUAUAUUUGGGGUUUUAGGUGAAAUAUUCCUUUUAACCAGCCCCUCGGGUCUCUUUGAGGAUUUUGGAUGGAAUACUCGGUUAAACCAACAUUUUAGGUGCAUGUCCAAGGAUUUUUGGUGGAAUGUUCCUUUAAGGUCGAUGUUUGAGGACCUUGUAGGUGGAAUACUUCCUGAAACCAACCUUUUAGGUCAACAUUCAAAGAUUUAAGGUGGAAUAUUCCUUUAAACCAACCUAAAUUUCAUGUUUUGAUCAUUAUCAAGUGAGAAACCUCAAUCCAGACUCCUCAUAAUGACGUUUGAGAUUAAUGCUGUUGUUAUUUGUUUAGUCCAGACAAAAUGACAGAAAUCCACAACUGUAAUUUUAUUUCAGGACUCGGUUAUUAAAUGUCAAAACAAUCCAUGUGACUCUAAAAACUCAACAGCUGUACAAACUCUAAGAUUAAACUCUCCACAAGGAUCCAAAAUAAAUUGGACUUCUACAUGAGAGCUUUAAUUAUUCUUCAUCUGCUUCCUGGAAAGUUUGGUCAAUAAAAAAGACAAAAACUAAUAUUUUCAGCUGAACUAAAGACAGACUUUGUGAUUUUUCUGCUCACAUGUGUUGUUGUAAACUUACUCUUUCAAAUAAAUAGCCGCCUAACCCCCUGGAAACCAGCGUUUGUCCUGUUUUUGUGUUGCUCCUCAGCGACCCUAGACAGCCGGGUCCUAAUGUUUUUUGAGCAACACACCAUACUAUGACGUUUUUACAAUGAUGGUUCUACUAUGAAACCAGUUUGACAUGUUCAGGUGUUCUUUGUGUGAAAACUCAGAGAUUUCAGGUAUCAGAAGGUGGUUUUCAACUUUCUUUGUUAACUUUCUGCUUCAACUUUAAAUUAAAUUUCCUUCACUAAGCCAGCCCUCUGGACUUCCAGGAAGCUGUGUUCCUAUUGGCUGUCCAGGUGGCUGCUUGGUGUUAUCAGGAACACCUGAGCAGCUCAGUGUCUUCCUGCUUUAUUUAGCUGCAGACAAACAUUUCCUCUGUUUCUCUUCACCAGUGAACCGGGUUUGGCUCCAUUGCUUUAGUCUGUUCUUUAGGCGUUGGCUUGCAGCUUCCAGCAGUAAAAUGGUCUUUAAUGUGUUUCUUGGUGUGUUUUAGGGCUUUGUACUGGAUAGUUGUCUUGGUAAAUGUGGUUCUUUAGCCACAGUUAGCACAUGGUGUUAAUGUGUGCAGUGAUUAGUGGAUUUGGUGCAGCUGAGUUGUGUCUUUAUCUUGGCUGUAGUGAGUCUUUAGAGGUUUCUGGUCAGACACAUUCUGUAUUCUUGUUUGUGAAGCAACGUUGGUUGUCCAGAAGGUAAGAGUUCCUGUCCUGAUUCUCUGUUAUCAGAGGUUCUCUGGUAGGCUGCAGGAGACUUUAGCGUUUGGGUUGUGCUAGGUUGGUUUUUGUACGGUUUCAUUUGGACGACUAUCUUGAGGCCCCUCCAUGUGGUUUAGUGAGGUUUUCUAGAACAGUUCUACAAAACAACCUGCAGCAGAAGAGACUUUGAGAGUUUUUAGGAAGUUCUGGAGACCAGACUUUAGAGCAGCAGAAACAUUUGUCAGCAGUUUGAGCAGGAGAAGGUGAGCUUCAGAGUAGAAAUGAGACAGAAACCUUCUUGACGUGUGGUGAGGUCCUGUACCAAGAGUUUGAGCAGGUUGUGAAGAGUCUGUAGUUCUUUGGUCUGAAAGCACAAGAAUCGACUCAUUAAAGGAGAAAACAGGAGAUAUUGUUGGUUCUUCUGUCACUCUGCAGUUUCCUUAGACUGAAUAUCAAGUUUAUAUUUUAAAUGAUUUGCCAUGUGAGCCCAAGAAGACUUCAAUAAACUCUCUCCAUCCCCUGGAAAAGUUUUAUUACGAUGUUAAAUCUUUUUUUUUUUUAAUGUUUUUGAAUUUUAAUCAUAGUUUUAGCAUAGUUUUUUCUCUUUGCUUGUUUAGUUUUGUCAUCUGUGUGAAAGGUGCUAAAUAAAGCUGAAUUGAUAAGCUGAAUAAUUGACUAAC